CAGGCUUCAAAAAGGAUGGGAGAAAGAGGUGGUGGCUUGUGGAAUAGGGACUGAUGGAGUUUGCUUCCUGUAUGUGCUAGGAGCAGCCUGUCCAUGGUCACCAAUGAGAAAGUGAGGUGGUGUCAAGAUAAAAGAUGAGAAGGAGCAUAAUUGACAGAGGUGAGGAAGGAAAUCAAGAGCAUCUGUGGAUGGAACUGGCCUUAAAUAUGAAUCCUCUUCCCCGCAACGGUGCUCCUCUCCUGCACCUCAGUGAGAUUGUUUGACUUUUCUUGAACCUUGAAGCCCAGUCAUAAAGAGGAGGUCGCUGCUCUUUUGUUAUUCCUGCAAUAACAGUGUGCGUGUAACCUAAAGCUGUCACCGAACAUAAGAAAAAGAAGAAACAGCCACUUCAGUCAUGAUUUGAUCUGUGUUCCCAGCUCUGAUUUUAUCAAGUAUGACAGCCUAAUUAUAAGGCUUCCUACACAAGUUAUUUAGGCAAGCAAGAUCAUCUUGUCCUGAUGUAGGUCUCCUGUGUUGUAAUGCAGCUCUUCCCUGCUGGAUUCAGAGAAUGUGUUUAUGUGGGACUAAUCUUUCUAGGGAUUCUGGGCAAUUUCACCCUCAAAGCUUCUAAAGUUUUCUGAGAUAAUCUACUUACCUGACAACUCCAGAGGCCACGAAUGGCAUAUGGAGGAGGAAUUCUAAAGACGCUGGACGUUGAGUUGAUGCUUCUUAUAAAAAACAGUACUAACUAUAUGCAAAACUGACACAUGAUUGGAGAGGGGCACUUAGGGUUGACAAAAGUUUACAUGAGACAUUCUAGCUGGUGGAGGCAGAAAGCUUAGUUAACUGCGAGCUGCAGUUGAGCCAGCAGUGUGAUUGAGUUGGGGUUGCCUUAAGAGAGACUAGACUGGGCUGCGGUUUUGUGUUUGUCCUUCUGUAAAGCUCGUUGGAGAUUAGCAGUCAUCUACUUGGGCUGUUGUAGGGAAUUUUUCUGGCAUCAAAAUAGAGAAGAAUAAGAUGAAAUGAUCCCUGAGGUCCCUUACACCUAUACAUUCGGAUGUUGCUGUGUUUUUUAAAAUUUCC
rnacentral:lncRNA from 1 species